rnacentral:rRNA from 1 species
UACAGAGGUCUCAAGCGUUGUUCGGAUUCAUUGGGCGUAAAGGGCGCGUAGGCGGCCCUCUUAGUCGCGUGUGAAAGCCCCGGGCUCAACCUGGGAACGGCGCGCGAAACGGGAGGGCUGGAGUUCGGGAGAGGAGAGUGGAAUUCCCAGUGUAGAGGUGAAAUUCGUAGAUAUUGGGAAGAACACCGGUGGCGAAGGCGGCUCUCUGGACCGAGACUGACGCUGAGGCGCGAAAGCGUGGGGAGCAAACGGG